rnacentral:rRNA from 1 species
AAAUUACGAGCCCAGGCUUAAAACCCAAAGGACUUGACGGUGUUCCACCCCUCUAGAGGAGCCUGUUCUAUAAUCGACUUUCCCCGAUCUACCCUACCACCUUUUGAAUAUUCAGCCUGUAUACCUCCGUCGCAAGCUUACCCUGUGAAUGCACUCAGUGAGCUCAAUGAUUAAACACCCAUACGUCAGGUCAAGGUGCAGCCUACGAGGUGGAGAGAAAUGGGCUACAAUUUCUACCAUAGAACAAACGAAAGACUACAUGAAACACAGUCGCUGAAGGCGGAUUUAGUAGUAAAAAGAAAAUAGAGAGUUCUUUUUAAUUAGGCACUGGAACGCGUACACACCGCCCGUCACCCUCUUCAAAUAUAAAUAUUAUGUCACUAACACUAUACACCCCCAUAGAAGAGGUAAGUCGUAACACGGUAAGUGUACUGGAAAGUGCACUUGGAAUAACAAAAUGUAGCUUAAUAAAAGCACCUUGCUUACACCAAGAGUAUGUCUGUGAAACCCCGACCAUCUUGAGCCUAAAACCUAGCCCCCCCAUUAAACUCAAUGAAACCUUUCUUUCUUCCACAAAAAUUAAAACAUUCUUACACUUAGUAAAGGCGAUUAAAAAGUACUUAGGAGCCCUAAUACUAGUACCGCAAGGG